rnacentral:rRNA from 1 species
GACGAACGCUGGCGGCGUGCUUAUCACAUGCAAGUCGAACGGAAAGGCCCUGCUUGCAGGGUACUCGAGUGGCGAACGGGUGAGUAACACGUGGGUGAUCUGCCCUGCACUUCGGGAUAAGCUUGGGAAACUGGGUCUAAUACCGGAUAGGACCGCACUUUAGUGUGUGUGGUGGAAAGUUUUUUCGGUGUAGGAUGAGCUCGCGGCCUAUCAGCUUGUUGGUGGGGUAAUGGCCUACCAAGGCGGCGACGGGUAGCCGGCCUGAGAGGGUGUACGGCCACAUUGGGACUGGGAUACGGCCCAGACUCCUACGGGAGGCAGCAGUGGGGAAUAUUGCACAAUGGGCGCAAGCCUGAUGCAGCGACGCCGCGUGGGGGAUGAAGGCCUUCGGGUUGUAAACUCCUUUCGCUAGGGACGAAGCUUUGUUGUGACGGUACCUAGAGAAGAAGCACCGGCUAACUACGUG